UACCAGCAGCCCGAGUGGUCGGCGCGUUUAUUGGGCCUAAAGCAUCCGUAGCCGGUUCUACAAGUCUUCCGUUAAAUCCACCUGCUUAACAGAUGGGCUGCGGAAGAUACUAUAGAGCUAGGAGGCGGGAGAGGCAAGCGGUACUCGAUGGGUAGGGGUAAAAUCCGUUGAUCCAAUGAAGACCACCAGUGGCGAAGGCGGCUUGCCAGAACGCGCUCGACGGUGAGGGAUGAAAGCUGGGGGAGCAAACCGG
rnacentral:rRNA from 1 species